rnacentral:rRNA from 1 species
UACGUAGGGUCCGAGCGUUGUCCGGAAUUAUUGGGCGUAAAGGGCUCGUAGGCGGUCCGUCACGUCGGACGUGAAAACUCAGGGCUCAACCCUGAGCGUGCUUCCGAUACGGGCGGACUAGAGGUAUGCAGGGGAGAACGGAAUUCCUGGUGUAGCGGUGGAAUGCGCAGAUAUCAGGAGGAACACCGGUGGCGAAGGCGGUUCUCUGGGCAUUACCUGACGCUGAGGAGCGAAAGCAUGGGGAGCGAACAGG